rnacentral:piRNA from 1 species
UNGUGCAAGGCGUGCUGAAAACAGAACCGU